UCCGAUAUGGUCUAGUGGCUAGGAUACCUGGCUUUCUCCCAGAAGGCUCGAGUUCGAUUCCCGGUAUCGGAA
rnacentral:tRNA from 1 species